rnacentral:lncRNA from 1 species
UUUUUUUUUUUUCUUUUAAAAAUAAGACUUAUUUUCAUUUUUAAGUGUGUGUCUGUGUCUGUGUGUGUCUGGGUACACACCUGAGCUCAGGUACCCAGGUGCUUCUGGAUUCCCUGGAGUUACAGGAGAUUGUGAGCGACAUGAUGUGGGUGUUGGGACCCAAACUCAGUGCCUGUGACAACAGUUCCUGCUCUAACUGCUGUGCCAUCUCCAGACCCACAUUCUUUCCUUUUCUUUCUUUCCCCCUCUCCUUCUUGCUGCCUUACAUCUUCCUCCCAGUCUGACCCUCUUUUUCUCGCUGUGUAGAUGUUGACUCAGUAUUUGAUUCCAUUGGUGUAAAUAGACAGUGACUUUUGUUUUUUAAAUCCUAAAAGCAAGGUCAGUGUCCUGUCAUACCAGUGGGCUUCAGCAAUGUGACCCUGGAUCUCAAGAGGCCACUUUGUUGCAGUCCCUUCUAGGAGCCCUGAGGGACAAUAGGGUGGAUAACUGCCCCUACUCCCCUGGAUUCUGGGGAGCUCUGGUGCAUGAAGAGGCAACCUCAGGGGUGGCAGGGCCAGUGGGCAGGCAUACAGUGCUCUGAGGAAGCGAUGCACCCAUCUCACUUCAUCUUUGCUGUAGGCCUCUGAGGAGAUCCUAUUCUUGUUUGGCAGAAGAAUUUCAAAGCUGGUUACUGACUGAUAAGGGCAUGAACCCAGGUCUGUGGCAAACUCUAGGUAUACCUAAAUCAGAAUUCAGAAACGGCAGAGGUUGGGAUGCCCAACCCCUUUGCCUCUUCUCCACCUCUCUGUCCUUUAGAGUCUCUCCUAGACCUAGAAUAAUGUGGAAAAUUCCUUUGAGCUUUCAAGUGAUGGCUAAGGACCAUUGACAUACAGUCACCAGAAGCUCACCAGAAGAUAUUGCCUUAGACUUGCCAAUAUGAAAUUAGCUGCUUAAGAGACCCCAGAGGUUGGUAGGACAGUCAGCUGAGGGAAAGCUCGCUGACUCUUAUGGGUUGUGACCUCCAGAUAGACUGGUAAACCAUUGAGUCUGUGCUGGAGAUAUAGAAGUGGAAAGUACCCUGAUUUGAUAUCUGAUCCAGAGCCUGAUAGUUUGUAUUAUUCUAUGUAAAAAUGGAAGAUAAAAUUAUCAUAAAAGCACCCCUUGCUGAGGCUAUGUGCAGAGUUACUGCUGCCUGGCCUCUAAUUCCAGGCAGAGGACUUACUCAGAAGGAGUCAAAACAAAGUCAGGUGUCCUCACUAGCUGGCCGAGAAGGUGGACAGCCCUCUGUCUUCAUAGCUUCCUGUAAUCGGGAGACUUAGCCAGCCUCCAACAGCUCUGCCAUCUAAAGACAGAGUCCUAGGUUAGACCAAAGAAGCAUGGUGGACCUGCUUCCAAUCCUAGCUCGCAGGAGGCUGAGAUAGGAGGAUUGCUGUGGAUUCAAGAUCUGCCUGAACUACCUGGCAGAAAAGGAAGAAGAGGGAAAGGGAAGAGAGGGAGAGGAGGACUUCCUAAAGAAAACACAGCCCUAGACAAAUCUAGGCUCUGGGCUCCUGUCUGCCUCCAUUCCCCAAUUCUACUGAGCAUGUCUUUCUUGCCUUAGCCAAAAGGGGAGGAGAAGGAUUUGGGUCUGGAAGGGGUGGUUUUGUUUUCUUCUUUUGAGGCAAGGACACAAGUAGCAGAGCUGUCCUUGAAUUCCCCAUGUAGCUGAGGAUGGCUUUGAACCUAUGAUACUCUCAUUUCUACUUCCUGAGUUUGGGGUUCCAGAAGGCACAACCACACCCGGCUUUACAUAGACAGGAAUGGACCUUGUGGGAUGGAGGCUACAGCCUGGUGCUAUGCUGGCACCAUCUUACCUCCAGAACAGAAGUGUUACACAAGUUGUGCACCCCUAUUCUGAAAACCUGAGGGUUCAAAGCCUGAAAGGUUUUAAAUGCCCACGAGAGGCCUCAAGGGGAAGAUUCCACAUCUGACCUUCUGGAAUGGGUCACAGUCACCAGGCCAGCAGCCUAAAAUUUACUGAACCAAAUGACACUGAGUCUAUUCACAGGACAUGCAUAUGAAACAAAUUAAUUUUCUAUUUGUGACUUUGCUCCUGUUCCCAAGAUAUCUCAACAUCUACAUACAAAUAUUCCAAAAUAAAAUUCC